rnacentral:lncRNA from 1 species
CGACGCAAUAUCAAAUUAAGACAAAUCUCUAUAAAUCUUGCGUGUUUUUGAGUGUUUAUUUUUCUUUUUGCAAGUUGAUUUCUCUCGAUGGUAUGGAAUUAUAAUUUCUAAUUCUCAACAUUCUGGGUCAUAUUUAGUACUGCAAGAUGUCUGUUUCACAAUGGCUUGUCGACUCCAAUACACGAUGAGCAAUACUACAGUUAACAUUGCAAAAGAAGAAGUGACUCCAAGAAAAAAAGAUUAUAGGAAAACUGAAGAGUACUUGUUAAAAGAAAGUGUAUAGCUGAUGGAAGCCCUGAUAUAAGAACUCAAGAAGUACUUGGAAGCAGUAGUAUAAAGGCAUAUUAAAGGACUGAUAGAACUGUGUAAGAGGUCGGCAUUGUUGAAAAAUGCAUUUUGAGAUUAUACUUGGCACAUCAAAAAACUGGUGGCCUUAAAGAUUGUCGCUGAAUCCGUUAAAGGUGGGUGCAGUCAAUUAAUAAUAGAGUAAUGAUACACUUCGUGUUCAACUAUUUUUGUUCCCUUGUUUUGUGAAGAAGGCAUACUCACUUCUCAUAAUUGCUAGAGUCUGAAAUUUUUAAGAAUAAGAUGCAGAAUUCGAUUCAUGCUUCUGAUGCCGGGAACCAAUUUUACUUUGGUUAUUAGAUUUGCAACUCCUCAACUCGUGAAUUGAACUAACUGUUUCAUGUGUUUUUCAGGAAAUGUCUUUCUUAAACACGCCUCAGAAUUGUGCUUGAUUCCGGUUGGUGCUCACUGAACGUCGUCUGUUUUUUCUCAAUUAGUAGUUGGGUAGUUCAAUUCCCUGCCUACUCCACACCUAAGAAACUGUAGUUGUAACGAAUGAACUUUGGUUUGACAGAGAAAAGAUUAUCUGAAAAAUUAUGCAGUAUGUUUCUUCCAUGUCGAGAAUGGCGAAGCCUCUAUAUAUUAUUCAAUUAGCAGCAGACCAGAACUACAUGCCGACUUAUGCUGCCAGCUGGAAUUUGCAUUUUUAUCAGGUCAUGUGGGUCUUUUGUCCAUCGGAAAGCAUGGAAACUUGGAAAAUGCCCAUUGUUUUCGAUGGUCCUUCUUGUCUUCUCCAUUGAAAAGGUUGGAAGUUUUGUCUUCAUCGAUUGUGGUGUAUAUGCUAUUUGAAAAUGAUAUUAUGAACAUUGAAGUUGGCGUCUAGUUAGACUCGGAAAAUGACACGACGAGUAGUGCUUUUUUGAAGUGGAGUAGCCAUCAUUAAACGUGCAGUAUCUUUAAAAACACGGCUCGUUUCUGAUUCUAAGUUAGACCCGUUUAUCCCACUGUCCAAGUGCACUGUGUGCAAGACUCAGUCGAAAGAGAGGUGUAAAACAGGCUAGGGUACGAUGGGCUCUCCCAGAAUGAACAUGGUCUUCUAACUUGUUCGGUACGAUUUUUGAAAAGUCAAAAGUUGCUUUUAAGAUUACUUCGAUAAUUUCUGAAAGUGUUUUGUGUGAUUAGAUGAGCUUUUACAGAAAGUUGAUCUGUUGUAGCCUUUCAAGAAACUCAACUACAAAAUGUUUUGAGUAGAAACUUCUCCAAACAUGCCUAAAUAGUAAUAUCAUUUUCUGCGGAUGGUAGUCAGCCUCGUCAAUUAUGGCCUGAUUACUGCCAUUAAAGCUGAUAUACUGAACUCAAGGUCCACAUGAUCACCAAGUUUACUACAAUAUGUCGGUAGGCACUGAGAUCUAGUACAAGUGCAUUAGAUUUGAAUUGAAGUUUUAAAUCUGCCUGUGACCCAGUGCAAUUCAAGAAUCCUCAUGGUCUUGUCUAAGUUGUGG